rnacentral:rRNA from 1 species
UACGAAGGGGGCUAGCGUUGCUCGGAAUUACUGGGCGUAAAGGGCGCGUAGGCGGCGUAUUUAGUCAGGCGUGAAAGUCCUGGGCUCAACCUGGGAACUGCGCUUGAUACGGGUGUGCUAGAGGAUGGAAGAGGCUCGCGGAAUUCCCAGUGUAGAGGUGAAAUUCGUAGAUAUUGGGAAGAACACCGGUGGCGAAGGCGGCGAGCUGGUCCAUUACUGACGCUGAGGCGCGACAGCGUGGGGAGCAAACAGG